UGCAAGUCGAGGGGUAUGCUUCUUCGGGAGCAGAGACCGGCGCACGGGUGCGUAACGCGUAUGCAAUCUACCUUUUACAGAGGGAUAGCCCAGAGAAAUUUGGAUUAAUACCUCAUAGCAUUAUGAAGUGGCAUCACUUUAUAAUUAAAGUCACAACGGUAAAAGAUGAGCAUGCGUCCCAUUAGCUAGUUGGUAAGGUAACGGCUUACCAAGGCAACGAUGGGUAGGGGUCCUGAGAGGGAGAUCCCCCACACUGGUACUGAGACACGGACCAGACUCCUACGGGAGGCAGCAGUGAGGAAUAUUGGACAAUGGGCGCAAGCCUGAUCCAGCCAUGCCGCGUGCAGGAUGACGGUCCUAUGGAUUGUAAACUGCUUUUAUACGAGAAGAAACACUCCGACGUGUCGGAGCUUGACGGUAUCGUAAGAAUAAGGAUCGGCUAACUCCGUGCCAGCAGCCGCGGUAAUACGGAGGAUCCAAGCGUUAUCCGGAAUCAUUGGGUUUAAAGGGUCCGUAGGCGGUUUAGUAAGUCAGUGGUGAAAGCCCAUCGCUCAACGGUGGAACGGCCAUUGAUACUGCUAAACUUGAAUUAUUAGGAAGUAACUAGAAUAUGUAGUGUAGCGGUGAAAUGCUUAGAGAUUACAUGGAAUACCAAUUGCGAAGGCAGGUUACUACUAAUGGAUUGACGCUGAUGGACGAAAGCGUGGGUAGCGAACAGGAUUAGAUACCCUGGUAGUCCACGCCGUAAACGAUGGAUACUAGCUGUUGGGAGCAAUUUCAGUGGCUAAGCGAAAGUGAUAAGUAUCCCACCUGGGGAGUACGUUCGCAAGAAUGAAACUCAAAGGAAUUGACGGGGGCCC
rnacentral:rRNA from 1 species